rnacentral:rRNA from 1 species
GACGAACGCUGGCGGCGUGCUUAACACAUGCAAGUCGAGCGGUAAGGCCCUUUCGGGGGUACACGAGCGGCGAACGGGUGAGUAACACGUGGGUGACCUGCCCUCAGCUCUGGGAUAAGCCUGGGAAACCGGGUCUAAUACUGGAUAUGACUCCAUGACGCAUGUUGUGGGGUGGAAAGCCUUGUGCGGCUGAGGAUGGGCCCGCGGCCUAUCAGCUUGUUGGUGGGGUGANGGCCUACCAAGGCGACGACGGGUAGCCGGCCUGAGAGGGCGACCGGCCACACUGGGACUGAGAC